CCUACGGGAGGCUGCAGUAGGGAAUCUUUCACAAUGGGCGAAAGCCUGAUGGAGCAAUGCCGCGUGCAGGACGAAGGCCUUCGGGUUGUAAACUGCUUUUAUAAGCGAGAAAUAUGAUGGUAACUUAUGAAUAAGGAUCGGCUAACUACGUGCCAGCAGCCGCGGUCAUACGUAGGAUCCGAGCAUUAUCCGGAGUGACUGGGUGUAAAGAGUUGCGUAGGUGGCAAGGUAAGUAGAUAGUGAAAUCUGGUGGCUCAACCAUUCAGACUAUUAUCUAAACUAUCUAGCUCGAGACUGUUAUGGGUAACUGGAAUUUCUAGUGUAGGAGUGAAAUCCGUAGAUAUUAGAAGGAACACCGAUAGCGUAGGCAGGUUACUGGGACAGUUCUGACACUAAGGCACGAAAGCGUAGGGAGCAAACGGGAUUAGAUACCCUAGUAG
rnacentral:rRNA from 1 species